GGGAACCAACGAAUAAAUCGUGGGAAACCCUGUAAUAAUAAUAUUUUCUUUCGAAACAAGCAUACCCACAUCCAAGCGUCAAACAUCUUUAAAACACGCUUGAAAUUGGAUGAUGAAGCUAUUUAUUGCCACUCUCUCUCUUGGCAUGCGGCUAAAAUAGGCACAUUCCUGCCGGCCUCAUCACAACCGACUGGCGAAGCGCAAACUACCAAGUAAAACAAAAGCUCUCGAGGAAGGGCGUCUGGAAGGAAAAAAAAGUCUUCCAAUUGCCCUUCACCAUCCCUGCCCACCAGAGUGGGGGUGUCGCAUCGCCUACUCACCUCGGGCCCCGGGUGAAAGCAGUAACAAAUGAGCUUGCCGAUUUGACAUAGCUUCGCCACUUCUCCGUUUUCCUUUUAACGCAACGCAAAAGAAAACAGUGCAGUAUCUGCGCCAAAAGCAGCGAACCCAGAACAAAGAUCCCAGACGAAGAUAAAGUUCAUUAAUCAACGCGCGUAAAUAAGUGUGCACCAUCGGGUUUGCGUUCUAGUCGUGAAAUAAGAAACAACCGACAUUCCUUCCCCCGCAAACCGGCUGAACGAGAACAUGAGGCUGGAGGCUGGGGAUGAGGAUGAUUGCUGGAAAUUUUUCUCUCCAUUUGCAACCAUAAAGACAUCGACCGAGUAAAUCACUGAACUUGCGAGACCGGAGCGGAGAUUGAGAGAGACAGAAAGAGCGUGAGAGACAGAAAGUCAUCGAAUUACGCUGCUCGUCCGAUCAAGGUCGGAUGGUUAUAGGAAGGAACAAAUACCGUCGGCUAUAAAUUGUUUAAUCUUCAUUCAUCGGCGACAAUGAAUGCCGCUAGAUUA